CUACGGGCUGCUGCAGUGAGGAAUAUUGCACAAUGGGGGGAACCCUGAUGCAGCAACGCCGCGUGGAGGAUGACGCAUUUCGGUGUGUAAACUCCUUUUAUAUGUCAAGAAAAUGACGGUAGCAUAUGAAUAAGCACCGGCUAACUCCGUGCCAGCAGCCGCGGUAAUACGGAGGGUGCAAGCGUUACUCGGAAUCACUGGGCGUAAAGGACGCGUAGGCGGGUUGGAAAGUCAGGUGUGAAAUCCUACAGCUUAACUGUAGAACUGCACUUGAAACUUCUAAUCUAGAGUAUGGGAGGGGGAGAUGGAAUUAGUGGUGUAGGGGUAAAAUCCGCAGAUAUCACUAGGAAUACCUAAAGCGAAGGCGAUCUCCUGGAACAUUACUGACGCUAAGGCGUGAAAGCGUGGGGAGCAAACAGGAUUAGAUACCCGUGUAGUC
rnacentral:rRNA from 1 species